AGUUUUCUGAGAGCCAAGUCCUGUAUACAUCUAACAAGGCUUAGGAUCAAAUUGUGUGCCCGAAAUGAAACAAUUUCUUCUUCAUAAAAUGCUGAAUUGUCAAAGUCUGUCAACUUUGGGGUUUAUGAGUAAGAGCAGUUUUCAGUUUCUGGUAUUGACUUAACAUAUCCAGCUUCAAAAAACAUAAAGAAUGGCUCUGAGUAACACGAUGCACUUUUACCCCUGGCAGACGAGUCUCUGAUUAUCACACGUUGCACUUUGGCCAUCAGUUCACACAGAAUCAUUAAAACAUUGGCCUUGAAAAAACGAAUAUGCUGACUAAGCGCGCUGAAGCCUACCACACAGUUCCUGUUCCUACUGUCAGAAUGAUUAUCAAAACCCACAAACUGAUUAUUUCUCAAGUUUCGUCCUUGGGCCUACCAAAAGGAGCCCCAGGGGUGCUGAAUGCUUUACUUGCUCACAGUAUACACCUCGUAUAAAGAUUUUUGCCUCCCAACAGCAUUAGACUGACGUCUGUUGAACGCAAUGCAAGGGCAACUCCCUUGCCAAAGAUAUAAAAGAAUUUAAAUCCAGGAAAUAUUUACAAGUCCGGAGUGAAUUCAUGCUAUAUUAAUUGAUGGCAUCAUUACUUAGGGAGCCGAGCAAGAAUGGAAGAAUGGGGGACCUCCUCAAAGGCUCUCACACGGUGGUCCCCGGGAGUCCCAGGGGGCCUUGGCCGCUGGGAGGCUCCCAAGAAAAGUAAAGGCGCAGAGGAGUGCCAUGAACUUUGACCCCAGCACGGCACAAACAAGACCGACCGCACCCCAGGAGGGCCCGCGGGGUAACUGAAGUUGCAGGGUCUUCCGGGUCUGAGGAAACCCCGCCCCGCCCCGUCCCGCCCCGCCCACCGCCAACUCCGCCAAUCCUCAGGCGCCAUCGACCGCUCGGCUUCCCAGGCACCUCCAAUCAAGUACCUAUAUCCGGCCCCAUGCCUGUGCCCUGCGGUCAGGGGAGGUCAGUAGAGAGCCUAUCGGAGCCGAGCUGGGGGCGUGGUCGGGGGCAGGGGGCGGACGAACUGAGACCGCGGGGCGGAGCGCGCUCGGCGCAGUCGGGUGCGAUUGGCCACCCCUGGCAGCAGCCGCACCUCGGACAGCAGCAGCCGCGACCGCCGGAGGGUCCGUGUGGCGCCCGGCGGCGACGGCGGCGGAGUCCUGCGUGAGAGUGGGACCCGACACCGAGACCGCGGGCGGAGGCUCCGCGUGGCCGGACCCGACACUCAGCGACCCGAGCGGGGGAUCCUCCGGGGGACAAGCGGCAGAAGAGCGACUCGGGAACAAGUGUGGGAGAGGAAGCGGCGGCGGCGACGCCGGGCCCGGGGGUGGUGACAGCAGGUCUGAGAGUUCUUCCACUGGACCAUGAUGCUGCUCCCCAUCAUGAUUG
rnacentral:lncRNA from 1 species